rnacentral:lncRNA from 1 species
ACUUUGAAAAAUAGUUAGAGUAAAAGUCUGAGAUGGAGCAUAAAACACACUCACAAUGAAAGGGGAAAAAAAGAGAGCAUGAAUAAUAAUCUAGUCCUUUGGUCAAAUGACUAUGAGUAGCACUAAUAGCCACUUGAAACUGGUGAAUCAACUAAGUAACAAUGUGCAUUCAUCUUUAAUGUUUGCCUUUGCGUCAGAAAGUUGAGGACAUUUCAAGCAAGCAAAGGUGUUCAAGCUUUUUCCUGUUUUUAGCAUGAUUAAUUGCAUGAAUCCUUAUAUCUAGAAACGUUUGGUGGCUGUUCUACUAGAUAUUGGCAACUCCCCUCAAUGAAAUUUUUGUGUUCUAAGUUUACAAAACUCUUUUAUGUCAUGUUUGGAAGUUGUUAAAAUGGUUAUUCAUUUAUUUGGUUCCAUAAAACUCAAGCCUACAAAUUAUAGUUGAUGGUUAUUCUUGUAACUUGAGGGUUGAGGUGUAACAUACGGGUUGUAAUGAAAUGAUUGGGAGUAAGUGAGUUGAAGGUGAAGAGAUGAGGAUUGAUGGAGUAUAUUGUGUAGUGCUUAAGGGCAAGCCCAAGAUAAGUGUGGAGGAGUUUGAUAGUGCCUAAAAAUGACAUCAUUAUCACCCACUUUUAGGUUAUUGAACUUAAUGGCAUGUUAUCUAAUCCGAAUUAUUUUCUAUGUUUUGUUGCAGCAUAGGAUAUAAAGAGGAAACUUAGAAAAAUAACAUGAAAAGAGGAAGAGUUUGUGAAAAUUGUCAUCAGCCCAAGAACAAGCUUUGGGUAAAGCUUGGGUCCUACCUAAGACAACUUAGCCUUAAGUAAUGGUAAGAGUUG